GAUGAACGCUGGCGGCGUGCCUAAUACAUGCAAGUCGAGCGAACGGACGAGAAGCUUGCUUCUCUGAUGUUAGCGGCGGACGGGUGAGUAACACGUGGAUAACCUACCUAUAAGACUGGGAUAACUUCGGGAAACCGGAGCUAAUACCGGAUAAUAUUUUGAACCGCAUGGUUCAAAAGUGAAAGACGGUCUUGCUGUCACUUAUAGAUGGAUCCGCGCUGCAUUAGCUAGUUGGUAAGGUAACGGCUUACCAAGGCAACGAUGCAUAGCCGACCUGAGAGGGUGAUCGGCCACACUGGAACUGAGACACGGUCCAGACUCCUACGGGAGGCAGCAGUAGGGAAUCUUCCGCAAAGGGCGAAAGCCUGACGGAGGAACGCCGCGUGAGUGAUGAAGGUCUUCGGAUCGUAAAACUCUGUUAUUAGGGAAGAACAUAUGUGUAAGUAACUGUGCACAUCUUGACGGUACCUAAUCAGAAAGCCACGGCUAACUACGUG
rnacentral:rRNA from 1 species